rnacentral:rRNA from 1 species
GAUGAACGCUGGCGGCGUGCCUAAUACAUGCAAGUCGAGCGAACAGACGAGGAGCUUGCUCCUCUGACGUUAGCGGCGGACGGGUGAGUAACACGUGGAUAACCUACCUAUAAGACUGGGAUAACUUCGGGAAACCGGAGCUACUACCGGAUAAUAUAUUGAACCGCAUGGUUCAAUAGUGAAAGACGGUUUUGCUGUCACUUAUAGAUGGAUCCGCGCCGCAUUAGCUAGUUGGUAAGGUAACGGCUUACCAAGGCAACGAUGCGUAGCCGACCUGAGAGGGUGAUCGGCCACACUGGAACUGAGACACGGUCCAGACUCCUACGGGAGGCAGCAGUAGGGAAUCUUCCGCAAUGGGCGAAAGCCUGACGGAGCAACGCCGCGUGAGUGAUGAAGGUCUUCGGAUCGUAAAACUCUGUUAUUAGGGAAGAACAAAUGUGUAAGUAACUAUGCACGUCUUGACGGUACCGAAUCAGAAAGCCACGGCUAACUACGUG